AACGAACGCUGGCGGCAUGCCUAACACAUGCAAGUCGAACGAGACCUUCUGGUCUAGUGGCGCACGGGUGCGUAACGCGUGGGAACCUGCCCUUAGGUUCUGAAUAACUCCCCGAAAGGGGUGCUAAUACCGUAUAAUGUCUUCGGACCAAAGAUUUAUCGCCUUUGGAUGGGCCCGCGUUGGAUUAGCUAGUUGGUAGGGUAAAAGCCUACCAAGGCGACGAUCCAUAGCUGGUCUGAGAGGAUGAUCAGCCACACUGGGACUGAGACACGGCCCAGACUCCUACGGGAGGAAGCAGUGGGGAAUAUUGGACAAUGGGCGAAAGCCUGAUCCAGCAAUGCCGCGUGAGUGAUGAAGGCCUUAGGGUUGUAAAGCUCUUUUACCAGGGAUGAUAAUGACAGUACCGGGAGAAUAAGCGCCGGCUAACUCCGUG
rnacentral:rRNA from 1 species